rnacentral:rRNA from 1 species
CCUACGGGCGGCAGCAGUGAGGAAUAUUGGUCAAUGGGCGGGAGCCUGAACCAGCCAAGUCGCGUGAGGGAAGACGGUCCUAUGGAUUGUAAACCUCUUUAGGCGGGGAGCAAUGCCGGGCACGCGUGCCCGGAGGGAGAGUACCCGCAGAAUAAGCAUCGGCUAACUCCGUGCCAGCAGCCGCGGUAAUACGGAGGAUCCGAGCGUUAUCCGGAUUUACUGGGUGUAAAGGGCGUGUAGGCGGGACUGCAAGUCAGAUGUGAAAACCACGGGCUCAACCUGUGGCCUGCAUUUGAAACUGUUUUUCUUGAGUACCGGAGAGGUCAUCGGAAUUCCUUGUGUAGCGGUGAAAUGCGUAGAUAUAAGGAAGAACACCAGUGGCGAAGGCGGAUGACUGGACGGCAACUGACGGUGAGGCGCGAAAGCGUGGGGAGCAAACAGGAUUAGAUACCCCUGUAGUC